GCCCUUUCCCUCUUCCAGAGCCCAACCCGAUGCUGAUUGUGGGCACCGUGAUCGGUGUCAUCGUGCUGGUCAUUGCCGGAGCGGGCGCAGGUGUUCACUGGCGCAGGAUGUACCCUUCACUGAGGAGGAUUGAUGUUGCUGCUCCUACGUGGAAAAAGGAAACCCCCGAGGAGCAGCGGAGCUGACACCACACGCUGCUCUUGCCGGGAACAUCGUCCCUGCUCCCAGCCGCGCAGGCGUGAAGGCUGCCACCUCGGAGACGUUUCUGGACAUCUUGCCUCGCGGUGCAGCUGCUGCUACGCAGUGGUGACCGGGGCGCCAUCCGGGUGGGAGGGGAGGGCACUGGCUGGUGUGACGAUGCCGCAGGGCAUCUCUUUCCAGCCAGGCCAGUGUUAUAAUUGAUGAGCCCUGCUUGCUUCCUUGGAUGUCUCCCCUCCAGCUGCCCCCUGCCAGGGGCCUGACCGCAGCGAUGGUAUGAAGUGCACACAGAUUUUGUGAUGAUCUAAGAGUCCUUAUAACUUAUUGUCCCAUUUUUACAUUGUGUUUUUACCAUAAAUGCAUCUUUUUGCAUCAGUUA